rnacentral:tRNA from 1 species
GGUGGCUCAGUGGUAGAGCGCUUGCCUCCCUUGCAUGAGGCCCUGGGUUCCAAUCCUCAGCACCA